UGGGGAAUAUUGCACAACGGGCGAAAGCCUGAUGCAGCGACGCCGCGUGAGGGAUGACGGCCUUCGGGUUGUAAACCUCUUUCAGUAGGGACGAAGCGCAAGUGACGGUACCUGCAGAAGAAGCACCGGCUAACUACGUGCCAGCAGCCGCGGUAAUACGUAGGGUGCGAGCGUUGUCCGGAAUUACUGGGCGUAAAGAGCUCGUAGGCGGUUUGUCACGUCGUCUGUGAAAUCCUAGGGCUUAACCCUGGACGUGCAGGCGAUACGGGCUGACUUGAGUACUACAGGGGAGACUGGAAUUUCUGGUGUAACGGUGGAAUGCACAGAUAUCAGGAAGAACACCGAUGGCGAAGGCAGGUCUCUGGGUAGUAACUGACGCUGAGGAGCGAAAGCAUGGGUAGCGAACAGG
rnacentral:rRNA from 1 species